AACAAAAACAUGUCCUUUUGUUUAUUUAUUUAAGGUCUGACCUGCCCACUGAAAUUAUUUUAAGGGCCGCAGUAAUUUGACUGUGCAAAGGUAGCAUAAUCAUUAGUUUUUUAAUUGAAAGCUUGUAUGAAAGGUUGGACGAGGUAAAUUCUGUCUCUAUUUAAUUUAUUGUAGAAUUUAAUUUUUAAGUUAAAAAGCUUAAAUAUUAAUAAAAGACGAGAAGACCCUAUAGAUCUUUAUAUUAAAAUUGAUAAUUUUAAUAUAGAAUUAUUUAUUUAUUAUUAGUUUUAAUAUUUUAUUGGGGUAAUAAAAAGAUUAAAUAAAUUCUUUUUGAAUGAAAUCAUUUAUUUAUGUUUAUAUGAUCCAAAUUUUUUGAUUAAAAGAUUAAGUUACCUUAGGGAUAACAGCGUAAUUUUUUUAGAGAGUUCAUAUCGAUAAAAAAGUUUGCGACCUCGAUGUUG
rnacentral:rRNA from 1 species